rnacentral:rRNA from 1 species
AUGCCUAGGAAUCUGCCUAUUAGUGGGGGACAACAUCUCGAAAGGGAUGCUAAUACCGCAUACGUCCUACGGGAGAAAGCAGGGGAUCACUUGUGACCUUGCGCUAAUAGAUGAGCCUAAGUCGGAUUAGCUAGUUGGUGGGGUAAAGGCCUACCAAGGCGACGAUCUGUAGCGGGUCUGAGAGGAUGAUCCGCCACACUGGGACUGAGACACGGCCCAGACUCCUACGGGAGGCAGCAGUGGGGAAUAUUGGACAAUGGGGGGAACCCUGAUCCAGCCAUGCCGCGUGUGUGAAGAAGGCCUUAUGGUUGUAAAGCACUUUAAGCGAGGAGGAGGCUCUUUUGGUUAAUACCCAAGAUGAGUGGACGUUACUCGCAGAAUAAGCACCGGCUAACUCUGUGCCAGCAGCCGCGGUAAUACAGAGGGUGCAAGCGUUAAUCGGAUUUACUGGGCGUAAAGCGCGCGUAGGCGGCCAAUUAAGUCAAAUGUGAAAUCCCCGAGCUUAACUUGGGAAUUGCAUUCGAUACUGGUUGGCUAGAGUGUGGGAGAGGAUGGUAGAAUUCCAGGUGUAGCGGUGAAAUGCGUAGAGAUCUGGAGGAAUACCGAUGGCGAAGGCAGCCAUCUGGCCUAACACUGACGCUGAGGUGCGAAAGCAUGGGAGCAACCAGGAUUAGAUACCCUGGUAGUCCAUGCCGUAAACGAUGUCUACUAGCCGUUGGGGCCUUUG